rnacentral:rRNA from 1 species
GUUGUAUGGUUAAGUGACUAAGCGUACACGGUGGAUGCCUUGGCAGUCAGAGGCGAUGAAGGACGUAGUAACUUGCGAUAAGCGUAGAUGAGGCAGUAACAGCCACUUGAGUCUACGAUUUCCGAAUGGGGAAACCCACUGGCAUAAGCCAGUAUCAUUGAGUGAAUACAUAGCUCAAUGAAGCGAACCGGGAGAACUGAAACAUCUAAGUACCCCGAGGAAAAGAAAUCAACCGAGAUUCCGAAAGUAGCGGCGAGCGAAAUUGGAUUAGCCCUUAAGCUUUACAUGUGUUAGACGAACGGUCUGGAAAGUCCGACGAUACAGGGUGAUAGUCCCGUAGUUGACGAUGCAUGUUCAGUGAAAUCGAGUAGGGCGGGACACGUGUUAUCCUGUCUGAAUAUGGGGGGACCAUCCUCCAAGGCUAAAUACUCCUGACUGACCGAUAGUGAACCAGUACCGUGAGGGAAAGGCGAAAAGAACCCCUGUGAGGGGAGUGAAAUAGAACCUGAAACCGUGUACGUACAAGCAGUAGGAGCACCUUCGUGGUGUGACUGCGUACCUUUUGUAUAAUGGGUCAGCGACUUAUAUUCAGUGGCAAGGUUAACCAUCUAGGGGAGCCGUAGGGAAACCGAGUCUUAACUGGGCGCCAUAGUCUCUGGAUAUAGACCCGAAACCGAGUGAUCUAGCCAUGGGCAGGUUGAAGGUUGAGUAACAUCAACUGGAGGACCGAACCGACUAAUGUUGAAAAAUUAGCGGAUGACUUGUGGCUAGGGGUGAAAGGCCAAUCAAACUCGGAGAUAGCUGGUUCUCCCCGAAAGCUAUUUAGGUAGCGCCUCGGACGAAUACUACUGGGGGUAGAGCACUGUUAAGGCUAGGGGGUCAUCCCGACUUACCAACCCUUUGCAAACUCCGAAUACCAGUAAGUACUAUCCGGGAGACACACGGCGGGUGCUAACGUCCGUCGUGGAGAGGGAAACAACCCAGACCGCCAGCUAAGGUCCCAAAUUACAGCUAAGUGGGAAACGAUGUGGGAAGGCUUAGACAGCUAGGAUGUUGGCUUAGAAGCAGCCAUCAUUUAAAGAAAGCGUAAUAGCUCACUAGUCGAGUCGGCCUGCGCGGAAGAUGUAACGGGGCUAAGUUGUAAACCGAAGCUGCGGCAAUAUCUUUUAGAUAUUGGGUAGGGGAGCGUUCUGUAAGCCGUUGAAGGUGUGUUGUAAAGCAUGCUGGAGGUAUCAGAAGUGCGAAUGCUGACAUGAGUAACGACAAGGGGGGUGAAAAACCUCCCCGCCGGAAGACCAAGGGUUCCUGUCCAACGUUAAUCGGGGCAGGGUAAGUCGACCCCUAAGGCGAGGCUGAAAAGCGUAGUCGAUGGGAAACGGGUUAAUAUUCCCGUACUUCUUACAAUUGCGAUGGGGGGACGGAGAAGGCUAGGUGGGCCUGGCGACGGUUGUCCAGGUUCAAGUGCGUAGGCUGAGUGUUUAGGUAAAUCCGGA